rnacentral:rRNA from 1 species
UACGUAGGAGGCGAGCGUUGUCCGGAUUUACUGGGCGUAAAGAGCGCGCAGGCGGCACCCUAAGUACCCUCUGAAAUCUGUCUGCUCAACGGGCAGGGUGGAGGGUAGACUAGGGAGCUAGAGAGAGGUAGAGGGGGGUAGAAUUGCUGGUGUAGCGGUGAAAUGCGUAGAGAUCAGCAGGAAUACCCGUGGCGAAGGCGGCCCCCUGGGCCUCUUCUGACGCCGAGGCGCGAAGGCUGGGGGAGCGAACGGG